UGACACGCAGACGGGUUCUUUGAGUC
rnacentral:piRNA from 1 species